rnacentral:rRNA from 1 species
UCAAGCUAGAAAGAGCGUAUGGUGGAUGCCUUGGCACUAGGAGCCGACGAAGGACGUGAUAAGCUGCGUUAAGCUACGGUGAGCCGCAAAUAGGCCUUGACCCGUAGAUGUCCGAAUGAGGAAACUCACCUGAAGUAAUGUUCAGGUAUCGUAUGAUGAAUACAUAGUCAUACGAGGGGAAACCCGGGGAACUGAAACAUCUAAGUACCCGGAGGAGUAGAAAGAAACAUCGAUUUCCUAAGUAGCGGCGAGCGAAAGGGAAACAGCCCAAACCAAUAGGGGUAACUCUGUUGGGGUUGCGGACUGACAUUUAGUACACAAAGUUUAGUUGAAUAGAGCUGGAAAGCUCAACCAUAGAAGGUAAAAGUCCUGUAAGCAAAAGACCAAGUGUAUGAGUCAGAAUCCAGAGUACCACGAGACACGUGAAACCUUGUGGGAAGCAGGGAGGCCCACCUCCCAAGGCUAAAUACUACCUAGUGACCGAUAGCGCAUAGUACCGUGAGGGAAAGGUGAAAAGAACCCCGGAAGGGGAGUGAAAUAGAACCUGAAACCGUACGCUUACAAUCGGUGGAAGCACUAUGUCGAAAGACAGUGUGACCGCGUACUUUUUGUAGAACGGACCAGCGAGUUACGUUAGUCAGCGAGGUUAAGCACUAGAGGUGCGGAGCCGAAGCGAAAGCGAGUCUGAAAAGGGCGAUUAAGUUGGCUGAUGUAGACCCGAAACCGGGUGACCUAUCCAUGGACAGGGUGAAGUUGGAGUAAAAUCUAAUGGAGGCCCGAACCCACCGGUGUUGAAAAAUCGGGGGAUGAGCUGUGGAUAGCGGAGAAAUUCCAAUCGAACUCGGAGAUAGCUGGUUCUCCCCGAAAUAGCUUUAGGGCUAGCCUCAACACAGAGUACCGGAGGUAGAGCACUGAAUGGACUAGGGGCCUUAUCGGUUACCGAAUCCUAUCAAACUCCGAAUGCCGGAUACUUGAUUGUUGGGAGUCAGACUAUGAGUGAUAAGAUCCAUGGUCAAAAGGGAAACAGCCCAGACCAUCAGCUAAGGUCCCAAAAUUUAGACUAAGUGGAAAAGGAUGUGUGACUACACAGACAACCAGGAUGUUGGCUUAGAAGCAGCCACUCAUUUAAAGAGUGCGUAAUAGCUCACUGGUCAAGUGGUCAUGCGCCGAAAAUGUCCGGGGCUAAAGUCUAAUACCGAAGCUAUGGCAUCGAAAGAUGGGUAGGGGAGCGUCGUAUGCUGGUAGAAGCUAUACCGAAAGGAGUAGUGGACGGCAUACGAGAGAGAAUGCUGGUAUAAGUAGCGAGAGUGAAGUGAGAAUCUUCACCGUCGAAAAUCUAAGGUUUCCUGAGGAAGGUUCGUCCGCUCAGGGUAAGUCGGGGCCUAAGGAGAGGCGUAAAGCGUAUCCGAUGGACAAUUGGUUGAUAUUCCAAUACCACCUAAUAUCGUUUGAAGGAAGCAGUGACGCAGGAGGAUAAGAUAUGCACGGCGUUGGUUGUCCGUGCCCAAGCACUAAGGCUUGUAUGUAGUUAAGAACGCAUACUCUAAGGUUGAGGUGUGAUGGGGAGUGAAAUUAAGUAACGAAGUAUCUGAUUUCACACUGUCAAGAAAAGCUGCUAACGAGAUAUUCAGGUGCCCGUACCGCAAACCGACACAGGUAGAUGAGGAGAGAAUCCUAAGACGAGCGAGAGAAGUAUUGUUAAGGAACUCGGCAAAAUGACCCCGUAACUUCGGGAGAAGGGGUGCCUCAGAAAUGAGGCCGCAGUUAAAAGGCUCAAGCGACUGUUUAUCAAAAACACAGGUCUCUGCUAAAUCGAAAGAUGACGUAUAGGGGCUGACGCCUGCCCGGUGCUGGAAGGUUAAGGGGAAGGGUUAGGAGAAAUCCGAAGCUUUGAACUUAAGCCCCAGUAAACGGCGGCCGUAACUAUAACGGUCCUAAGGUAGCGAAAUUCCUUGUCAGGUAAGUUCUGACCCGCACGAAUGGCGUAACGACUUGAGCGCUGUCUCGACAAUACACUCGGCGAAAUUGUAGUACUAGUGAAGAUGCUAGUUACCCGCGAUUGGACGGAAAGACCCCGUAGAGCUUCACUGUAGCUUGACAUUGGGUUUUGGUAUUUCAUGUACAGGAUAGGUGGGAGACUUAGAAGUGGUGACGCCAGUCAUCAUGGAGUCGACGUUGGGAUACCACUCUUGAGAUACCGAAAUUCUAACCAGUGGCCAUAAUCUGGUCAUGGGACAUAGUCAGGUGGGCAGUUUGACUGGGGCGGUCGCCUCCUAAAGAGUAACGGAGGCGUUCAAAGGUUCCCUCAGAAUGGUUGGAAAUCAUUCGUAGAGUGCAAAGGCAGAAGGGAGCCUGACUGCGAGACAUACAAGUCGAGCAGGUACGAAAGUAGGACUUAGUGAUCCGGUGGUUCCGGGUGGAAGGGCCAUCGCUCAACGGAUAAAAGCUACCUCGGGGAUAACAGGCUUAUCUCCCCCAAGAGUCCACAUCGACGGGGAGGUUUGGCACCUCGAUGUCGGCUCGUCGCAUCCUGGGGCUGAAGUAGGUCCCAAGGGUUGGGCUGUUCGCCCAUUAAAGCGGCACGCGAGCUGGGUUCAGAACGUCGUGAGACAGUUCGGUCCCUAUCCGUCGCGGGCGCAGGAAAUUUGAAGAGAUCUGUCCUUAGUACGAGAGGACCGGGAUGGACGAACCUCUGGUGUAUCAGUUGUCCUGCCAAGGGCAUGGCUGAGUAGCUAAGUUCGGAACGGAUAAGCGCUGAAGGCAUCUAAGCGCGAAACCGACUUUAAGAUAAGAUUUCCCACAGCGUAGGCUGGUAAGACCCCAUGUAGACCACAUGGUUGAUAGGUCGGAGGUGUAAGUGCAGUAAUGUACGUAGCUGACCGAUACUAAUAGGUCGAGGGCUUGAUCU